AAGUUUCCUGCAAACGAAUUUUGUCAAAGUACAUAAAUUAUUAUUUUUUCAAUGUUUGUCAUAGCUGCAUUUGUGUAUUUCGAAGAUAUGUCUAAUAAUGCGUGUUAAUACAUUACAUGCAGCUUGUCUAUGUGCAAAAUGAAAUGUAAGAAAGAAACCGAAUGCAAGUCAUUCAGUUUAAAUUUUGUGCACAAGUGUUUUUAUUUUAUUUUUUGUGUGUAAAAUGAUACGCCAUCUGACGGUUUGAUCAAGUGAAUCAUAUGCGAUAUGAAAGUUUAUUCAACUGUUUUUCAGCUCGAAUAAUCUAGAAGCAUUUAUCGAUGAAGCCGACAGCGACAGGGCUACCGCUACAAGGUGAACACAGUCGGUCUUAAGUUCUUUUACCAUUGCACAUAAAAGGAACUUCUGAUUACAAACUUGUAGACGAACGAUAACACAUACGUAGUUAUUUAUUGUAUUUUGUAUGAAAAUAAACUAACCGGCGAAUAUGGUUACGAAAACAAAGACAGAGAAAAAAAUCGGUCAAGGCAUUGGACUGCGCACUUUGAAAAAAAAAAACAAACACACUUCUUAGCUUACGUGUGUGCGCAUAAUCACGUUGCUAUUGGCCGGCUAGAAUGUUUGUGCGUGGGAUUUAUGUGCAAAUGUACAUAUCUGUUUCGGUCGCAGGCUGUUUGUAUACAGCUACCCAUGUACAUAGAAAUACAUAUACUGAUUACCUAGGAGUUGGGAUGUAUGAAUAAUAAACAUAAUAUA